AUGUUUUGUAAAAUGCACAUUGUUGAGUGUAAGCUCAUCAAAGAUGGAAAUAUUCAGGAACAGGCUGGAAUUCAUCAUGUAAAACCAAAUCGAACAGCAACUCAAAGCCGGUGGUACAAGAAAUCAUACGUAUGGCCAGAACAUUGGUGGAGCUUGUUCGUCGAUAACAUUCACACUGAAGCGUGUAAUCCCAUUUACUGCUGUACAUUUUGUUGCAGAGAGAAUGAAGUAAGAUAUCCAGCUGCUACACUUCUGCUUGGUUAUAUCACGAGAAGAAAACCAUAUCUAUUUCGCUUACACCUUUACAGGUAUGACAUUAAGAUUGUUUCAAACUUCACCAUCGUGUAA
rnacentral:rRNA from 1 species